UACGGAGGAUGCGAGCGUUAUCCGGAUUUAUUGGGUUUAAAGGGUGCGUAGGCGGGAUGCCAAGUCAGCGGUAAAAAUGCGGUGCCCAACGCCGUCGAGCCGUUGAAACUGGCGUUCUUGAGUGGGCGAGAAGUAUGCGGAAUGCGUGGUGUAGCGGUGAAAUGCAUAGAUAUCACGCAGAACUCCGAUUGCGAAGGCAGCAUACCGGCGCCCUACUGACGCUGAGGCACGAAAGCGUGGGUAUCGAACAGG
rnacentral:rRNA from 1 species